GAUGAACGCUGGCGGCGUGCUUAACACAUGCAAGUCGAACGAAAAGACGCGGCGCUUGCUCCUCGGACGUGUGCCGCGGGCGUGUGAGACACGCGUGUAUCCCCUCCUUGUCAGUCUGGGAUCAUUACGGGAAACCGGAGCUAAUACCAGAUAAUAUAUUGAUCCGUGGGGUGGAAUAGUGAACGACGGUUUUGCUGGCACUAAUAGAUGGAUCCGCGCCGGAUUGGCUAGUUGGGAAGGUAACGGCUUACGAAGGGAACGAUGCGUAGCCGAACUGAGAGGGGGAUCGGCCACAUUGGAACUGAGACACGGUCCAGAGGCCUACGGGAGGCAGCAGUAGGGAAUGUUCGGCAAUGGGCGAAAGCCUGACGCAGCAAGGCCGCGUGAGUGAUGAAGGUCUUCGGUUCGUAAAACCCUGUUAUGAGGUAAGAACCGAUUUGGAAUUAGACAAGGCGUUAUUGACGGUACCGAAUCAAAAAGCAACGGCUAACUACGUG
rnacentral:rRNA from 1 species